rnacentral:rRNA from 1 species
AGUGAACGCUGGCGGUAGGCCUAACACAUGCAAGUCGAACGGCAGCACAGUAAGAGCUUGCUCUUACGGGUGGCGAGUGGCGGACGAGUGAGGAAUACAUCGGAAUCUACUUUUUCGUGGGGGAUAACGUAGGGAAACUUACGCUAAUACCGCAUACGACCUACGGGUGAAAUCAGGGGAUCUUCGGACCUUGCGCGAUUGAAUGAGCCGAUGUCGGAUUAGCUAGUUGGCGGGGUAAGGGCCCACCAAGCCGACGAUCCGUAGCUGGUCUGAGAGGAUGAUCAGCCACACUGGAACUGAGAAACGGUCCAGACUCCUACGGGAGGCAGCAGUGGGGAAUAUUGGACAAUGGGCGAAAGCCUGAUCCAGCCAUACCGCGUGGGUGAAGAAGGCCUUCGGGUUGUAAAGCCCUUUUGUUGGGAAAGAAAAGCAGCAGGUUAAUACCCCGCUGUUCUGACGGUACCCAAAGAAUAAGCACCGGCUAACUUCGUG